rnacentral:rRNA from 1 species
GACGAACGCUGGCGGCGUGCUUAACACAUGCAAGUCGAACGGUAAGGCUCCAGCUUGCUGGGGUACACGAGUGGCGAACGGGUGAGUAACACGUGGGUGACCUGCCCUGCACUUCGGGAUAAGCCUGGGAAACUGGGUCUAAUACCGGAUAGGACCGCACCGUGAGGGUGUGGUGGAAAGUUUUUUCGGUGUGGGAUGGGCCCGCGGCCUAUCAGCUUGUUGGUGGGGUAAUGGCCUACCAAGGCGGCGACGGGUAGCCGGCCUGAGAGGGUGGACGGCCACAUUGGGACUGAGACACGGCCCAGACUCCUACGGGAGGCAGCAGUGGGGAAUAUUGCACAAUGGGCGGAAGCCUGUUGCAGCGACGCCGCGUGGGGGACGACGGCCUUCGGGUUGUAAACUCCUUUCACCACCGACGAAGGGUUUCUGACGGUAGACGGAGAAGAAGCACCGGCUAACUACGUGCCAGCAGCCGCGGUAAUACGUAGGGUGCGAGCGUUGUCCGGAAUUACUGGGCGUAAAGAGCUCGUAGGUGGUUUGUCGCGUCGUCUGUGAAAUUCCGGGGCUUAACUCCGGGCGUGCAGGCGAUACGGGCAUAACUUGAGUACUGUAGGGGAGACUGGAAUUCCUGGUGUAGCGGUGAAAUGCGCAGAUAUCAGGAGGAACACCGGUGGCGAAGGCGGGUCUCUGGGCAGUAACUGACGCUGAGGAGCGAAAGCAUGGGGAGCGAACAGGAUUAGAUACCCUGGUAGUCCAUGCCGUAAACGGUGGGCGCUAGGUGUGGGUUUCCUUCCACGGGAUCCGUGCCGUAGCUAACGCAUUAAGCGCCCCGCCUGGGGAGUACGGCCGCAAGGCUAAAACUCAAAGGAAUUGACGGGGGCCCGCACAAGCGGCGGAGCAUGUGGAUUAAUUCGAUGCAACGCGAAGAACCUUACCUGGGCUUGACAUAUACAGGAUCGCGCCAGAGAUGGUGUUUCCCUUGUGGCUUGUAUACAGGUGGUGCAUGGUUGUCGUCAGCUCGUGUCGUGAGAUGUUGGGUUAAGUCCCGCAACGAGCGCAACCCUUGUCUUAUGUUGCCAGCACGUUGUGGUGGGGACUCGUAAGAAACUGCCGGGGUUAACUCGGAGGAAGGUGGGGAUGACGUCAAAUCAUCAUGCCCCUUAUGUCCAGGGCUUCACACAUGCUACAAUGGUCGGUACAGUGGGUUGCCAGUCCGUGAGGGCGAGCUAAUCCCGCAAAGCCGGUCUCAGUUCGGAUCGGGGUCUGCAACUCGACCCCGUGAAGUCGGAGUCGCUAGUAAUCGCAGAUCAGCAACGCUGCGGUGAAUACGUUCCCGGGCCU